rnacentral:rRNA from 1 species
CCUACGGGUGGCAGCAGUGAGGAAUAUUGGUCAAUGGGCGUAAGCCUGAACCAGCCAAGUCGCGUGAGGGAUGAAGGCCCUAUGGAUCGUAAACCCCUUUUAUAAGGGAGUAAAGUGCGGGACGUGUCCCGUUUUGUAUGUACCUUAUGAACAAGGAUCGGCUAACUCCGGGCCAGCAGCCGCGGGACUACUUUGGUGGCAAGCGUUGUCCGGAAUUACUUGGUGUAAAGGGAGCGCAGGCGGGCAGCCAAGUAAGCUGUGUAAACUACGGGCUUAACUUGUAGACUGCAGUUGAAACUGGUUUUCUUGAGUGAAGUAGAGGUUGGCGGAAUUCCGAGUGUAGCGGUGAAAUGCGUAGAUAUUCGGAGGAACACCGGUGGCGAAGGCGGCCAACUGGGCUUUAACUGACGCUGAGGCUCGAAAGUGUGGGGAGCGAAAGGGAUUAGAUACCCUUGUAGUC